UUCCUGGAGAGGGGUUGCUGCAUGUGUGUAAUUAUUGAAACCAACAACCCAAUCUCCCGAGCUGUUGCGAAUUACUCCACCUAGACCACAAUGCAACUUCUUAGCUUUGAAUGCCCCAUCUAUGUUAAGUUUGUACCAACCAUCAGGGGGCAUAUGCAAUCUUAUUCUGAUGGCCUUCUUUGUAUUUGGGUUUGACUCCUUGUCUGUGAGGAGUUUGUAUUCCAUAGCCUGUUGAAAAAUGAUCUUAGAGGACGGAGCAUGGUUAGUAUUGUUAUGAUUGUUAUUGUUUCUAUUCAUCCAGAUAUUCCAGAUAACAAAAGGAAAAAGAUCCUCCCAGUCAAGGUAUUUGUGUUUUAACAUAAGAUUCAAGUUUUUUUAUUACAAGAAGCCAGUGGGUUAUACCAUUGAAUGAGAGGUGAGUAAUGCCUAAAUUCUUCCAGAAUGCAUUAGUCAUAGGAAAAUGUGCAUAAUGGUCUCAUCCUCAAUCUUGCACAUUGGACAAGUAGCGUCAAUAUUCAUACCAAUAUGCCUAAGAUAAGAUCUACAUGGUAGUUUAUCAUGAAAACACCUCCACAGGAGAAAUUUUAUCUUGUUGGGACAGUUGAGAUGCCAAAUCCAAGUGAAAUCUUUGUCAGUUUCCUCAUGACCAUCAAUAAGAGUGUAACAUGAUUUUAUAGUAAACCUGCCAUUGCUACUAACUGACCAAAUAGGAAUGUCAGGAGUAUAAUCAUAUUGAGGUAGAUUUAAGGUCAUAAUGUUAUCGGUAAUACAAUUGGGGAGGUCAAAAGACAACUUAGAAAAAUUUCAUAAAUUCUUCUUCCUUGGAUCUCUAAUUUUUAGAUUGUGAUCACUCUUGUUGAGAGGCCAUUGAAUGGAAUUUCUUAGACAAGAAGUGUUAGGAAUCCAUCUGGAAUUCCAAAUGUCAAUCACAGACCUUUCAUUGAUAGUCCAAAUGAUCCCUUUAUUAUAAUAGUACCAGCCUUUUAUGACAACACUCCAAAUGAAAGAAGUGUUAGCUUUCCUGGCCUUCGUAGCAUGAUUAACAAUAAGGAACUUGGACCAAGGAGAAUGAGGAAAGUUUAGUAGUCUCCAUGUAAGACCUGUAAGGAGGGACAAAUUUUUUGACUUAGCCUUCUUGAUUCCCAGACCCCCUAUUGGAUUUACUACUAGUAACUACCUUCCAACUAACCAAGUGGAGUUUCUUAUUACUUUAAGUGCUAUCCCAUAUAAAAUUUCUUUGGAUUUGAUCAAUAACAUUCAGAAUUUUUUGUGGGAGAAGAGCAUAUUGCAUGGCAUGAUUGGAAAUAGUAUUGAGGGUCAAGGAGAUAAGGGUAGUUCUACCGGCCAUGCUUAAACACUUUGAUUUCCAAUUAGAUAAUCUGUUGCGCAUGUUAUCAAGAAUGAAUUAAUAAUCAGCGACUUUUGGCUUCUGUCGCAAAAUAGGAAAGACAAGAUAUUUACCAAAGUUGUCACUGAUUCUCAUAUUGAACAAUUUAGAAAUAUGCUUGGCAGUGUCGUUCGGAUAAUUUUUUGAGAAAAUAAUUUUGGAUUUGGAAUAAUUUAUCUUAUGGCCUGAUAAGUCACAGAACAUAUUGAGGCAUAUAGGGUCCCAAUUCCUAAUAUCUACUUGAUGACUAAUGUAUCUAGACAACAUUUCCAUGCACAGUAUAAAGAUAUACGGAGACAUAGGAUCGCCAUGCCUUAUGCCUCUGCUAGGACUAAAAAAGGCAGCCUUGGAUCCAUUUACUAGGAUAGAGAUGUUACUUGUAGUAAUACAUGUCAUGAUCAGCUUUGUAAUCUUGGGGGGAACUUGAAAUGUCUAAGGGUUCGAUAAACGAAAGACCGCUCAAGUCGAUCAAAAGCUUUUUCUAAAUCAAUUUUAAGGAUCAUAAAAGCUUUGGAACCCUUAAAGUGAUUGACUUUAGAAAGGAUUUCAUGAAUAAUGAUAGUAUUGUCACAAGCCCUUCUAUUUUUAAAAAAAACUGACUUGGAAGGAACUAAUGAUAUUAUCUAGAAAAGGCUUUAUCCUGUUAGAAAUGAUCUUAGUAAUAAUUUUCUAAAUAGUAUUACAUAAGCCUAUGGGUCAAAAGAUUUUUAGGUUGUUAGCAUUAGGAAUUUUAGGAACGAGACAUAAGUAGGUAUUGUUGAUAGAUUCAGGAAAGGAUUGCGUAGCGAAAACAUUGUGGCAAAAUUGUAGAACUGAUUAUCCCACCACUUUCCAAUAUUUUUGAAAGAAGAAUGGGUGUAAGCCAUCAGGUCCUGAAGCUUUAAAGGGUUUAAAGGAAAAAACAGUCCUAAUGACUUUAUUAUCCAGUAGGGAAUAGUCUAAUAAGGACAGAUCUGGAUUAUUGAAAGAGACUGGGUCAUUAAGGAUUUUGGACCAAUUUGUUUGAAGAUGAGAGGUUGUGAAUAUUUCUGAAAAGUAUUUCAAAGUGUGAUCCCUCAAGGAGUUGUGAUCAUCAAUCCAUUGACCUUCGUCAUUUUUAAAACAAGUAAUAUGGUUUCUUCGUCUCCUAUUAGUGGCAGUGAUAUGAAAAAAUUUAGUAUUAGCAUCACCUUCAUUAAGCCACAAAAUUCUAGAUCUAAGUUUUCAGUAGUCUUCUUCUAACUUAAGGAUAUUAUUGUAGUCAUACAUUAAAUCUUGUUCUAAUUGUUGAAGAAAUCUACUAGUAAAAAAUUUAGGAGAAUUUUGAAUACCGUUAGGUCUCUUUUUUCUGUGAAAGAGAUCACCAAAAGUUUUUCUUUUCCAUUCCAAAAUAUCGUUUCUAAAAGAUCGAGCAGCAUUACACCAGUCAUUAUCUUUCCAACUAGAAUUAACCACAUUAAUGAAAUCAGAAUAUGAGCACCAAAUUGUCUCUAACCUAAAAGGUUUCUCGUAGUUUCCAUUAGGCAUAGAGUUCAACUUGAUUAACAAAGGUCUAUGGUCUGAGUGGGUUUUGGGCAGGUGGGUAACUGAGGCUUCAGGAAAAAGAGUAGCCCAUUUAUCAUUACAGAACACUCUGUCUAAUAAUUCCAUAAUUAGACUUUUUCUCUUUUUUCUAUGAUUUGACCAAGUGAAUUUACUUCCUUUAAAUCCCAAGUCAAAGAGGUUACAAUAAUUUAUGCUGGACCAUAGUUUGCAUGACCUAUUGAGACUGAUAGGUUUACCACUAAAUUUCUCCUCAACCAUAAAAACGUCGUUAAAAUCACCCCUACUAACCACGGGCCUUUAUAGGAGUCAUAAAUAUUUUUCAAGUUCUUCCAAAGUAGAUUUCUGAUAGUCUUACUACUACUAGCGUAAAUGGAAGAAAAAAUCCAAGAGUAGCGUUUAGGAAGUAUCUCAACCAUAGCAUGGAUUUCCUGGUCUCGCCUAAUAGAAUUUUGGACAGUGACCAUAUUGUGAUCCCACAGAAUAACCAUUCCUCCUGAUCUUCCCUCUGCGGGGACCUCGAUCAUAUCCGUAAAAUUAAAAUCAUUAAGAAGGGAGGUGUGAGUAGACAUCUUAGUUUCAAGUAAAGUAACCAUGCAAGGCCUAUGUGUGUCUAUCAUAUCUCUAAAGUUCCUACGGAAGUUCUCAUUGUUAGCACCCCUAGUGUUCCGAAUGAUAAUAGUUGUAGCUCUAUUCAUCCUGGGAUUUGGAUUCUGUAGGUUGACACUCCCCUCCUCCCCCAUAGGAGAAGAUAGGUUUCUCCAUUGGCAUGGUAUUAUGAUUAUUGCCAACUUUCCUACUGUUAGAUCUUGUGGUGUCUUUAUGUUCAUUGUGCACCUGUAUAGUGCAAUUGGACAACUGAAGACAUGCCUCAAGUCGUGCCUCGCCUAGAAGAGUGAGACUUUGACUUCGUUUAUGUUUGAAAACUUGAUUCUCAACCUCCUGUUUGGAGGAGGUAUCUCCUCUGGUUCCUCUGUUACUUUUUUUCUUAGUUCUUGAGCAUUGGGUGGUUGAGGGGGGUGCGUUUUCAUGGGGGCUGGGUUGCUAUUUUAUUUUUGAGUCUGUGCCAGGUAGAAGUGGGAAUAUAUUGGCGGGGUCCUUCGAUCCUAAUGGAUUGGGGUCCUUCGGUAGGAAUGGAUUGAAGGGAGUAGGAAGGUUCCAAAGGUUCUGUAUGUUCUGGAUUAGAAUUGUGUCCAUGUUCGUGGCUAGAGGACUCAAAAAAGUGUUCAAAUAUUGUACUAGACACUUGGUUAAUAUCAACCAACACUUGUUCAUUGCUAGGAUUAUCAAGAGAUAAGUGUUGUUGAGUUGGAGGGAUAUUAGCCUUGUAGGAAGUAUCGUCCAUAUUAUCAUUAUUAAGACUAAUAGUCACGUUGUUGUUCCUACUUUGAGAAGCAUCAUUGGCUUGGUACAAAUGAUUUUUAUCCCUAUUAUCAUUAAGUGUAGUAUUUGCAUUAGUAGUAGGACUAAGCUUGUCAUUGUAGGAUCCAGCCACAUGGUUGUUAUUCUUAUCUAGUGUGUCCUGCCAACUUGACAUGCAUUGGUUGGUUUCAUUAAGUGGAUUUACCUUGUGGGUGAUAUUUUCCAAAAUAGUGGGCUGGUUAUUAGAAGGUAAUUUAGAAUUAUUAUUUAUAUAAUGAUGAUCAGAAUUAAAUGAACUAGAAAUAUUAGCAGGGAUUGAGUGAGAUUUCCUUAUGCCUAUGUCAUGUAUUGGGAGAGGAUCUUUUCCUUUGUAUUUUAGUUUUUGAGUAUUAAGAUACUUACCUGUGGUAGCAUCAAAGAUUUUAACAUUAAUACCUGCAUCAUGUGUGUUCUGGAUUGAUUCAGACUUUGUUCUUGGAGGAUUCUUCUUUCUUUUAGAGAACACCACUGUCUGCCAAUUUUCACCAUCUGUUUCUUUUGACAUUUGUGGAGAGCUUUGUUGCAACGUAUUAUUUCUUGAUUUUUCUGGAACAGAGUUGGGAUACUGUAGGGAUGAAUGACCUAAUCUUCCACAUAGUUUGCAUAAGAAAUUGUCACCCUCAUAUAAUAUUUGUUAUUUAUGAGAACCGAUGAAAAUAUAUGACUUCACUGGCUGAUCUAAAGCGAUUUCCACACAAAGUUUUGCAUAACGUCCUCUCAAGGUUGCUGAUGUACAUGCAUCAAUUUUAGUAAACGCCCAAUUUUCCUUAAUAUAAUGGCAUCAUAAAACUCAGUUGGUAACUGUGGGAGACGCACCCAUACAACGGCAAUUUGCUGUUUUGCCUGAGAAGCAACAAAGUUUGGUAUCCAUUUUUGUAUCGAGAGGAAAUGCCCAUUUAUGAACCAGGGGCCAUCGUGUAAUGCCUUGUUCAUAUUUUCCUCUGUACCAAACUUUACUAUGUAAUAAUAAGCACCCAAGUUAAUUAACGAAAAUUUUUCACUAAUCCUCCGUAAGUCUUGAAUUUUCUUGCAAAUAUAGUUAUGGAGGAUCCGCUUACCCAUUAAUUUGAUAAUUACUGAGUACCUCCAGGGAUGAUAGAUCCUAUGCAUAUUUUCAACAGAUAAGGUGACCAUGUGAUCUGCAUUUUUUGAUUCAUCUCCGCCAAUACCUUUGUCAUCUAGCUCAUGUAUCUCCAUAGGUGCAAUUAAAUCCUCAAAGCAUUCCAUAGAGAUAAAGUUCGAGUGUGUAUCUCAUAGUAGCUUGUCUUUAAAAGUUGGAGUAGAGUCGUGUGUAGCCAUGGAGCUACUGUUGGUGGGUAUAUGAUUGUUAAUAUCCGGUGGUUUUGGAGGGAUUUGAGUUGUCUGUUGCAAAGAUGGUUCAGGAUUUUGCAUUCUUCAAAUAUGAAAUGGAGGAACGGUAGUAGGAUUUUAGAGAGAAGGUAGACCUUCUCUCUCUAGUGCUAUAACUCCAUUCUGCCAAUUUACUAUUAUAUAGAACUGAGUUAAAAAUGGACGAACACCGGUAAAAUGGUAAUUACAAUUGUUUGUCAUGUGCACUUUUGUAUUUUACUUUUCAAUAUCAGCCAUUUCAUUCUCCUCAUUUUCAUGACAUGUGUUGCUCUUUGUAUUUUUAUCUUCCACUUCCAUUUUCCAUUUUCCACUUCACUAGCAGCCAUUUAGUUAUUCCUCCUUCUUCUUCUACAAAAAAUGGUAUGUUCUUCUUCUCUGUUUUUUUCCCUCUUCUUCAUUUUGCUGUUAUUUUCUUUUUGAUUUUUGAAGUGUUGCAUGUGAGUAAUUUCUUUUACUUUAAUAAAAUUUUUAGAUUUUAACCUAAGAUUUGAAAUUGGGGUUUUAAAAAUUCAAUGCAACUAAGCAACUAAAUAGCAAAUAGGAUUUUUUGGAGCGCAAGAGGAAUAAACGGGUGAAGGAUGCAAAGAAGCUGCUUUUAUAGUGAUCUGUGUGCGGCUCACAUUGAGAGGUAAUAAAUGAACUUCUUUUUUCCUGAGAAAACUAUUAAGAACCUUUUUUUUUUUUUAAUUUUCAUUUUCAUAUCGAUUGUCAUUAUUUUUAUUAAUUGGUAUUUCAUACUUAUAUAUGAAAAAGUGGAUUGUACUUACGAAUUUCAGACACAUUUCUAUUUCAUUUAUAAGAAGAUGGUUUCAAGAUGACAACCUCAUAAACAUGCUUCAUUCAACUCUUUUUGGGGCUGAAAUUGGGUGUUAAUUUGAUUUAUACUUUUGUCAUGUUCUAUUCGUGUCUUCUUCUUGUGUACUUAUGAUUUUUAUUUUUUUUAUAUUUCCUGUUUUCUUACCUAUUUUAUACAUGCAUGUUCUGGUUUAUCACUGAUUUGCAUAUGUCUAAGAUUCCAUAGAUAUUAUUAGUCCAGUUCCUUCUCCCCUUUCUUUUACUGCUCUAACUUUAUUGUUUCAAACUUUGCUGAGACUGAAUUGAAAGAUGAGGGUGCUAUCUUAGUUGCAAAUGCAUUAGAAGAUUUGAGCUUUCCUCGGAUAGGGUAGACAUGAAAGUUGAUAGCUUAAGACUGUCCAAAUAAAUGACAUUGUGUGUUUCUACUUCGUUUUUCUACCUUUAUUGAGCGUCAAAAAAUUACAUAGGGACAUGUAUCCAACUUAAGUUGUUGCUCUCUGUGUUAACCCCCUCAAUAUCAUCUGGUCUUUGAAAAAGAUCCAAGAAGCAUAAUAAUAUUAUGAUUUAUGUGAGGAUAAAAAAUAAUAUCUUCUACAUAAUAAGAAAAAUAUAUUUAUUAUUACCUAUUGGAUUCAUUUCUUGUGUCAAUAUUGUUGCUUAUUUAAUGAAUCUAAUUGUAGAUUAAAUUACUAUGCUUUUAAAGUUAAAGUUUUAAUCAACUCAGGUUAUUGCACAACAGGGAUAACGGAGAUCGCUCUACUGAUGUUUGAUAAGAUGCUUUCUGAGGAUCUUGGCUCAUGGAUGUCAAUUAUAUAUGGAUAUUCUGAAAAGGACUUGUAAGGAGGUAACUAGGUUAAUCUACAUUCAUACAGAGGAUUGUCUGAGCCUUGAUAUUGUCACUUUUGUUUAUCCUAGAUGCCUGUAAAGAAUUUGGUGUGUUUUGUUUAGGAAAGGAGUCCAUGAUUCUACUAAUUAGUUUUACUACUGUUGAUAUAUGUGUCAUAGGUGUAGAAAUCUUAUUAAGGAUUAUACUCUUUUAAUGGGAAACUCAAUGUCAUUUAGAAAGCCCAAAAAGUUCUCUCCUUGAGGCUUAUUUUUUCCUCUACUUUACAUGU
rnacentral:lncRNA from 1 species